UUUAUUUAUUUAUUCUUUUAAACUAAGCUCCCAUACGUAGGUAUAUAGUGUAGAGCUAUUAUGCUAUCGGAAAUAUAAAGUAGCUGGUGCUUUCAAUUUUUUAGCCCUUAGAUCAAAAAUUCUACGAUUGGGAUGAUAGCGAUCUCUUUAGGGUUGAGUGGUCUCCCUAAGAUUGAAUGAUCCCCAUUAGUUAAUAAUAUUAAUUCAAUGAUUAGAAAUAAUCAAUGGGGUUGAUAUAAGGGCUGAAAAAUCGAAAGUAUCAACUACUUUAUGUUCCGAUAGCAUAAUAACUCUACUCUAUAUAUACGUGUCUAUAUAUAUGUA
rnacentral:lncRNA from 1 species